CUCAGAAUGAACGCUGGCGGCAUGCCUAACACAUGCAAGUCGAACGAAUUACCUUCGGGUAGUUAGUGGCGCACGGGUGCGUAACGCGUGGGAAUCUGCCCCUUGGUUCGGAAUAACAGUUGGAAACGACUGCUAAUACCGGAUGACGACGUAAGUCCAAAGAUUUAUCGCCGAGGGAUGAGCCCGCGUAGGAUUAGGUAGUUGGUGUGGUAAAGGCGCACCAAGCCGACGAUCCUUAGCUGGUCUGAGAGGAUGAUCAGCCACACUGGGACUGAGACACGGCCCAGACUCCUACGGGAGGCAGCAGUGGGGAAUAUUGGACAAUGGGCGAAAGCCUGAUCCAGCAAUGCCGCGUGAGUGAUGAAGGCCUUAGGGUUGUAAAGCUCUUUUACCCGGGAUGAUAAUGACAG
rnacentral:rRNA from 1 species